UACGUAGGGUGCAAGCGUUAAUCGGAAUUACUGGGCGUAAAGCGUGCGCAGGCGGUUGUGCAAGACCGAUGUGAAAUCCCCGGGCUUAACCUGGGAACUGCAUUGGUGACUGCAAGGCUAGAGUACGGCAGAGGGGGAUGGAAUUCCGCGUGUAGCAGUGAAAUGCGUAGAUAUGCGGAGGAACACCAAUGGCGAAGGCAAUCCCCUGGGCCUGUACUGACGCUCAUGCACGAAAGCGUGGGGAGCAAACAGG
rnacentral:rRNA from 1 species